GACGAACGCUGGCGGCGUGCUUAACACAUGCAAGUCGAACGGAAAGGCCCUGCUUUUGUGGGGUGCUCGAGUGGCGAACGGGUGAGUAACACGUGAGUAACCUGCCCUUUACUUUGGGAUAACUUCAGGAAACUGGGGCUAAUACCGGAUAGGAGCUCCUGCUGCAUGGUGGGGGUCGGAAAGUUUCGGCGGUUGUGGAUGGACUUGCGGCUUAUCAGCUUGUUGGUGGGGUAGUGGCUUACCAAGGCUUUGACGGGUAGCCGGCCUGAGAGGGUGACCGGGCACAUUGGGACUGAGAUACGCACCAGACUGCUACGGGAGGCAGCAGUGGGGAAUAUUGCCCAAUGGGCGGAAGCCUGAUGCAGCAACGCCGCGUGCGGGAUGACGGCCUUCGUGUUGUAAACCGCUUUCGCCUGUGACGAAGCGUGAGUGACGGUAAUGGGUAAAGAAGCACCGGCUAACUACGUG
rnacentral:rRNA from 1 species